UGAAUACGUUCCCGGGCCUUGUACACACCGCCCGUCACACCAUGGGAGUGGGUUGCAAAAGAAGUAGGUAGCUUAACCUUCGGGAGGGCGCUUACCACUUUGUGAUUCAUGACUGGGGUGAAGUCGUAACAAGGUAACCGUAGGGGAACCUGCGGUUGGAUCACCUCCUUACCUUAAAGAA
rnacentral:rRNA from 2 species